GAUGAACGCUGGCGGCGUGCUUAACACAUGCAAGUCGAACGAAGCACCUUGAUUCGAUUCUUCGGAUGAAGAUCUUGGUGACUGAGUGGCGGACGGGUGAGUAACGCGUGGGUAACCUGCCUCAUACAGGGGGGUAACAGUUAGAAAUGACUGCUAAUACCGCAUAAGACCACAGCACCGCAUGGUGCAGGGGUAAAAACUCCGGUGGUAUGAGAUGGACCCGCGUCUGAUUAGGUAGUUGGUGGGGUAACGGCCUACCAAGCCGACGAUCAGUAGCCGACCUGAGAGGGUGACCGGCCACAUUGGGACUGAGACACGGCCCAAACUCCUACGGGAGGCAGCAGUGGGGAAUAUUGCACAAUGGGGGAAACCCUGAUGCAGCGACGCCGCGUGAGCGAUGAAGUAUUUCGGUAUGUAAAGCUCUAUCAGCAGGGAAGAAAAUGACGGUACCUGACUAAGAAGCACCGGCUAAAUACGUG
rnacentral:rRNA from 1 species